rnacentral:rRNA from 1 species
UCCGUAGGCGGUUUAAUAAGUCAGUGGUGAAAUCUGGUCGCUUAACGAUCAAACGGCCAUUGAUACUGUUAGACUUGAAUUAUUAGGAAGUAACUAGAAUAUGUAGUGUAGCGGUGAAAUGCUUAGAUAUUACAUGGAAUACCAAUUGCGAAGGCAGGUUACUACUAAUAUAUUGACGCUGAUGGACGAAAGCGUGGGGAGCGAACAGGAUUAGAUACCCGCGUA